rnacentral:lncRNA from 1 species
CUGCGAUGACAAUUUGUGCUUGGGCCGGCUUUGGGCUCAGCAGGGCUUGGAUUUGUUUCGGUUCAGAGCAGGAACAGCAACUGUUCCAGAAUCCCACGACUGCGGCGUGCUUGGGAACGCGGUGCUGUGCAGCGGGAAGGGGACGCUGGGCAGGGCAGAGCCCAGGCAGGCGGAGCGGGGGCCGCGAUCGGUCCCCGUGAGGGAGGGCGGGCAGGAAGCGGCGGAGCGGGGCCGCGCUCGGUCCCCGUGAGGGAAGGCGGGCAGGAAGCGGCGGCGGGCAGCCCCAGUCCUUCCGGGGCGCGGGCGGUGCCGGCCCAGGGGCGGCGGAGCCCGGGCGGCGGCGGCCGCAGCGCGGGUGGGUCGGGGCCCCGGGGCGGCCGGGGAAGGGUGGGCCGGGCCGGGCCGGGCCUGGCCGGGUCGGGGUGCGGCCGCCGAGGGCCGUGGGCGGGAUCCGUGAUCCAGCGACAGCCCCACACGUAGGAGUGGGUAAAACCCCCUGGCGUCUGCGGCAGCGGCACCCGAGCCGGGUCUGGCCUCCGGUUCCUGGUGCAAGGGCGUGAACGUGCUUUCCCCCGCAGUGGCGUGCGGUGUCAUGGAGGGGGAUGUGGCCCUGUGCCGUGUGCCCUGGCAUGGCCCUGCUGGAGCGGGGGGGUGGGACCAGGGACCCUCUGUGGUUCCUUCCAAGCUGUCCCGCCCUGUGCUUCCUUGGCGCUGCCAUCAGGCGUGCUGGCUCGAUUCCUCGGUUUCUGAAUUUCCCCCCCACCGCCAAAGUCUUUUGGAAGUUAUAUUAUUGAAUGCCCUUUUGCUUCUGACUAGAUAUGGAUGACAGGAAAGAUGAGAAAAGCAGGACGCUGUGUGCAACCUCAGAAGAAGGGCUGAAGGCCCGAGGGAAAGAAAAAAGGAAACGAAAGCGCAGCAGAAGCAGAUCCUCAUCUGUUUCAUCCACAUCGUCUUCUAGCAGUACAUCCACUUCUUCCUCCUCAUCACGCUCUUCAUCAAGGUCAUCUUCUUCCAGCAGUAGUAGAGAUUCUCCUAAGUCUAAGUCAAAGAAGAAGAAAAAAGAAAAACACAACAAAAAGAAAAGGAAAAAGGAGAACAAAAUGAAGAAAAAGAAAGAAAAGAAGAAAAGGAAAGAGAAAACAGGCCCUGUCCAGCUUUCCAAGUUCUUCAAAAACAAAAAGAAGAAUGAAAACUACAGCAUGAUAACUGGAAAGAAAAUUAAGAUGAAAAUAAAGAAGACUAAGGAAGAUAUAGAGAGAGACCGGAACCGUGCCCAGCUCCUGGAGUUCCUGAACUCUGCCUUGUAA